rnacentral:rRNA from 1 species
UACAGAGGUCCCAAGCGUUGUUCGGAUUCACUGGGCGUAAAGGGUGCGUAGGCGGUCGGGUAAGUCUGAUGUGAAAUCUCACAGCUUAACUGUGAAACUGCAUUGGAUACUAUCCGGCUCGAGGAAUGGAGGGGAGACUGGAAUACUUGGUGUAGCAGUGAAAUGCGCAGAUAUCAGGAAGAACACCAAUGGCGAAAGCAGCUCUCUGGGACGGUACUGACGCUGAGACGCGAAAGCGUGGGGAGCGAACAGG